CAGCAGAAGGUCACCAACAGGUCUUCAAUGUAGCGAGAAAUUCCCGCACCCGGAGGCGUCCUUCAGCUGGCCCCUAAACAAAUAUAUACUAGUUCAGUAAUAAUUGUAUUGUCCCAAACAUACAAAUUUUUAAAACGACUGUUUGUGUAUAGUACGGGAUUUUGGCCUCGCAUUGUCCUAUGCAUAUCACUCGAAGGUACCCCGACCAAUCGUAAUCUAUACCUAAUGCUCACUAUGUUGAGAAGGACUCACCGCAAGGUUUUUUUUUCAAUUUGCAGUGCGGGAUGUAUAAAUGCACAUUCACGUCCGGGUUGGUAAGAAAUAGUAUGUCUAUAAUGCG
rnacentral:lncRNA from 1 species